rnacentral:lncRNA from 1 species
AAAGUUCAAGGUUAUAUAUCACAUAGUAUGAGGCAUUGUGUUCAAUAGAAAGAAACUUCACCACGUGUAAAGAGUUAAGAAAUUAUUAUAACAAGGUGUUUAUCAUCUGUUAGACUCUCUUUACGAGUGACUUGCAUAUGACCUACUCUUUAACUUCAACAUACUUCAACAUAAUAUGAACGAGAGAGGCAUAUCCAGAGAUGAGAGAGAAAGAAAGAGAGAGGGAGAAAAGGAUUGAUAGGAGAAAUGAUGAGACUGUUGCACUCCAUGACGUCAAUUAACUUCUCCGACAGCGCAUCAUAUCACCUCCGAAAACCACCAAUCAACCAUUCUUACAAAGCCAAGACACAUAUCUACCUUAGUACAAACAACAUUUAAAUUCACCUCACAUUGGGCUCCUUAUAAAUUUCACAGCACAACAAUCGGCUAUCUCACCUUUGAUAGUGCAUCUUCGUCAAGAUUACAAAGUGCCUCUGUUUUUUUCAAUAUGUCUUUUUCAAAGCAAUUUCCGCGACACUGUCAAGUGGAAAAGAAGGAAUACACCCUAGAGUUGGACAAAAAAAUAAGAGGUAUAAGAUUUUUCAUCACUGAACAAAGUGCAUACAAAUCACUCAUACUAGUGGUCACAGUGGAAUAAGUUGAAUGGAUGAAGAAAGUCAUGUUUACUUUGAUCAACACCCUAAAGAACAACAGAUUCUUUCAGAAAAAAAGAGAUAACAGACAAUGUAUGUGGAUUAGUAAAACGCAAAAUAAGAAAGGGAACUUAGCUGAGAUCUUCAAGGUGGACGAUAAAGGAAGAAAAUGCUAUAAAUUGGUGCAAGAAAGUGUUGAAAUAACAUGAUGGAGCAAUUUUUUAAAAAUGCUAAACUACAAGGCUGAAAGAGAAACGAAAGCAUUGCAUGCAGGGUACCAUAGUCGCAAGUUUGAAGUGGACACAUCAUCAGCAGAAUCGGAUACAGAUGAAAGGAAUAAAAAAAGAACAUAUGCAGAAGUGUUAUAUUCCGAAAGUAACUACGACAGCUCAACAGAAAGCGAUAAAUAUAAAGAGAUGAACUCUAAGAAAAGUGAUGAAAGUGAAAAAGCUCAAAGAAAAGGAGACAGGAAAAUACCUAUAGAGUGGGAAAAAGCAGUGAGCAUAACAAGGUGCUAUUUGCACGAUGACUGGGAAGAGAUAUUGGACAAGCUAGCUAAACAGAUUGAAGUCAAGUUCACAUACCAACCUUUUCACGUUGAAAAAGCUAUCAUUCUUCUACAAGGCAAUCAAUAAGCCCGUUUGCUAUGUAGUAACAAAGACUGGACUAUAGUUGGCAAAAACUAUGUGAAGUUUGAAACAUGGAAUAUAAAGACAUUCACACAAAUCAGGAACUCAUGUGGAGGAUUAGAAGAUGUUUCAAAAGCCACAUGGAAGAAACCUGACUUUAUCGAAGAAAGAUUCAAAGUUAAACAGAACUACGCAAAAUUCAUACCAGCCGAAAUCAACAUCACGGAUGAAAAAUUAACAUUUU